UUUUUUAAGGUUAACAUCAGUCUGGAAUUUAUUUUGCAUGUUCUGUACAAUAUUUGCAUAUUCCUACCCAUUGCAAAUGUUCCUGCAGAAGUGUUUAGCUUAAUUUGUUCUUUCGUACUGAGAUCCUCAGGUGCCUGUAUCACAAGUCCAGUGCAUUGGGUUCAACGCUUGCAUUAUGUUCCAGUAUCUUAAAAAGUUGGAAUCAAUUAGAACCUAUUUUUAAACAUUCUGGAUCUUCCUUAACGUUUUGGAUAUACCCUGCGUCUUACACAGGUGAGUGUUGAUGUUCCUGAUGUGCGUGGAAGGACAGAGAUUCUCAAGGUGCACGGUAGCAACAAGAAGUUUGAUGCCGAUGUUUCUCUUGAAGUCAUUGCAAUGAGAACACCUGGGUUCAGUGGAGCAGACUUGGCGAAUCUUCUGAACGAGGCAGCCAUAUUAGCAGGCCGACGUGGGAGGACCGGAAUUUCCUCAAAGGAGAUUGACGAUUCAAUUGAUAGGAUAGUGGCUGGUAUGGAAGGGACUGUCAUGACAGAUGGGAAGAGCAAAAGUCUUGUUGCUUACCACGAAGUCGGGCAUGCAGUUUGCG
rnacentral:lncRNA from 1 species